rnacentral:rRNA from 1 species
UACGAAGGGGGCUAGCGUUGUUCGGAUUUACUGGGCGUAAAGCGCACGUAGGCGGAUCGAUCAGUCAGGGGUGAAAUCCCAGAGCUCAAUUCUGGAACUGCCUUUGAUACUGUCGAUCUGGAGUAUGGAAGAGGUGAGUGGAAUUCCGAGUGUAGAGGUGAAAUUCGUAGAUAUUCGGAGGAACACCAGUGGCGAAGGCGGCUCACUGGUCCAUUACUGACGCUGAGGUGCGAAAGCGUGGGGAGCAAACAGG